GACGAACGCUGGCGGCGUGCUUAACACAUGCAAGUCGAACGGAAAGGCCCCUUUGGGGGUACUCGAGUGGCGAACGGGUGAGUAACACGUGAGUAACCUGCCCUUGACUUCGGGAUAACUUCAGGAAACUGGGGCUAAUACCGGAUAGGAAUCCUUGCUGCAUGGUGGGGGUUGGAAAGCUUCGGCGGUUUGGGAUGGACUCGCGGCUUAUCAGCUUGUUUGUGGGGUAGUGGCUUACCAAGGCUUUGACGGGUAGCCGGCCUGAGAGGGCGACCGGCCACAUUGGGACUGGGAUAAGGCCCAGACUCCUACGGGAGGCAGCAGGGGGGAAUAUUGCACAAUGGGCGGAAGCCUGAUGCAGCAACGCCGCGUGCGGGAUGACGGCCUUCGGGUUGUAAACCGCUUUCAGCAGGGGCGAAGCUUGUGGUGACGGUACCUGCAGAAGAAGCACCGGCUAACUACGUG
rnacentral:rRNA from 1 species